GGCACCCGGACACCCCGGCCUCACGCCCGCCGCGGCGCUGCGGACCCGGCCCCGCCUGAGCCCUCGCUGGCAGCGGCGAUCGCGAUCGGAGCGCCCACCCGAGCCUUCCCCCCCACGGGCAAGGAAAGUGAAGUGGAAACAAUGUGAAAUUCACCAGCUCUGAAAUCAACAAGCUGCCGGCUCGGGAGCUACGGAGCCAACAGCGGCGUCCCCAUUUAAAGGGACAGCGCACCCGGUGGAGAGAAGAAAUAAAUACUCGAAGAGGUCUGCGCGCCCGGAUCGCUCGCCAGCGUGUGUUCCGCAGACGCGCGAGGUGCGGACGUGUUCUCUCCACACCUCCGCCGCCCCCACUGGGCUCGCCAAGCGCAUUCAAGGAUAAAAGAGUCUUCUCGGCGGCUUCUAAGGGCGUGUCCCCGCGAGGACGUCUGUCUGCGGGCGCGUUUGCAUCUCUACCCCGGGAACCCCGACACCUUUAGAUGGCGAAAGGAACCUACCUGCUUUAAGGAAUAUGAAACCGAUCUUCUCUUUUGAAGGAAAGAGAUGAAAGGAAGAAUGAAGAGAAAGACAAUUACUGAAAGAUGUUCAAGAAUGUCUGAACUUUGUUUAAAAAAUAAUGCAUACAUCCAGAGUUUUGAAGAAUGCCUGAACAGUCCACCGUCUACGGAAGUACUAAGGACAAGAUUUUUAUCCCUGUUCAGAUACUAGAAUCUCUCCUAAAAUAGAGUGAACAACCUCAGGGAUGAUCAUCAGGAGCUCAAUCCCAGAGUACGAAGACUCCAAAGUCACUUUCAGGUCCCUUGGCCUGAAGUUAUGGUGGAGGAUAUGUGAAUGCCUGGACUGUUACUACAUCUGCUUGCACUCUGGUCUACAGUCUUGGUAUUUUUAUGUGUCUUGGAAGGCACGUCAAAGGUGGAAUGUGAAUCGUCUCCUUGGUUGAAUAUGUGUUGGAACCUUCCGAGUGAACUCUGAAGCUCUUCCAAGGAGGCCAAUUUCAGCAUUAGAAUUCUGGUGGAGGGGCUACUCUCAAUUUUCCUCCUUCCCAAAAUGGGCACCAUUCUUUCCUCCUGCCUGUAAAGUUAGUGUGGAGGGCAUGCAAAAAGUUGCAAUGUGGAUACAAACUAUAAAAAUUCUACAAGGGUAUGAGGAACUGUUACAACUUAAUUUUAUGUCUUCCUAAUAUUGCUCAGGAAUUAAUGAGUCCUGGAGCUAAAGGAAAGAACCCAAGGGAAUAAAGGAAUCAUUUACUCUUUUAACAAAUACUGUGCACCGUCAUCUGCCAGGAAUAAUAAAGAACAGGUAUUCAGCAGCUUCUAGUGAGCUGCUCUGUGAAGAACUUGGUUUCUUUUUCACAUCUAAGAGAGAUUACCACUUAGGUCAGUCAUUGGGGACCCUUUUCUGAAUUGCUUCCUGUGCUAUAACUGUGUUGAAAAUGAAACAAAGAAAAAAGUGACCUUAAUGCUGGCCUCCAAGAAGACUUUGGUCAAUUCAGCACCUUUUGCAAGCUGUAAAUUCAUUCUUCAAAUUGUCUACUUGGUUUUUUUCCCCUCUCUGAGAGAAAAAAAAAAAUCUAGCCUGUUUAAAAUUAAAAAUCAGCUUCACAAGGAAAUAUCACAGCAGAAAUGUAAUUCAACAAGUAUCUGCUGAGUGUUUUAUGGGUUUUAGUCCAUGCUAAGUAUUGAACUGUUGCAAGGGGUAGGAAUGUAGAUGGUAAUGUUGAAUACCACGGCCCAUAAAACACGGUCUCUACCCCCAAAGCAGUAAUAACUACUCCAGGAACUCUGUUAGCAGUCAGUGGAAUUUUAGUGGUUGAGACAGGUUAA
rnacentral:lncRNA from 1 species